rnacentral:lncRNA from 1 species
AAUAUUCAAGAAGUUGUGUUACAAUUCUUACAAUUGUUAAUUUAUUGUUUGUCCAUAAAAGUUUGAAAUGAAGAGAAUAUUACAUUCAACGAGAAUCAUUUUGAGCUACAUCCUCUAUAAGUGUUGGAACGAGUAAAGUGAUUGAAGAGAAAACACAGAUUAGUUACUAAUGCUUCACAGACCCCCUGAUAAUUAAACAAAGAAAUUAAGGAUUUGAAUACUUGAUAAUUAAAAGGUGAAGUAUAUUGGAUGUUUAUCGGAAGUGGAUCUAAGGAUAUUAUAGGAAAAAUCUGCCUGUUAUUAUGGAUACAUAUUUUAAAAAUCUAUCUUACUUUACUUAUUUUAUUUAAAUAUUAUAAUAUAAAAAAAAACUUUAA